CCUACGGGCGGCAGCAGUGAGGAAUAUUGGUCAAUGGACGAGAGUCUGAACCAGCCAAGUAGCGUGAAGGAUGACUGCCCUAUGGGUUGUAAACUUCUUUUAUAUGGGAAUAAAAUGUUCCACGUGUGGGAUUUUGUAUGUACCAUAUGAAUAAUGAUCGGCUAACUCCGUGCCAGCAGCCGCGGUAAUACGGAGGAUCCGAGCGUUAUCCGGAUUUAUUGGGUUUAAAGGGAGCGUAGGUGGAUUGUUAAGUCAGUUGUGAAAGUUUGCGGCUCAACCGUAAAAUUGCAGUUGAAACUGGCAGUCUUGAGUACAGUAGAGGUGGGCGGAAUUCGUGGUGUAGCGGUGAAAUGCUUAGAUAUCACGAAGAACUCCGAUUGCGAAGGCAGUUCACUGGACUGCAACUGACACUGAGGCUCGAAAGUGUGGGUAUCAAACAGGAUUAGAUACCCCAGUAGUC
rnacentral:rRNA from 1 species